rnacentral:rRNA from 1 species
UACGGGGGGGGCAAGCGUUGUUCGGAAUUACUGGGCGUAAAGGGCUCGUAGGCGGCCAACUAAGUCAGACGUGAAAUCCCUCGGCUUAACCGGGGAACUGCGUCUGAUACUGGAUGGCUUGAAUCCGGGAGAGGGAUGCGGAAUUCCAGGUGUAGCGGUGAAAUGCGUAGAUAUCUGGAGGAACACCGGUGGCGAAGGCGCUCUGCUGGACCAUAACUGACACUCAGGGACGAAAGCUAGGGGAGCGAAUGGG